rnacentral:rRNA from 1 species
UAGUCCACGCCCUAAACGAUGUUCACUCGAUGUUUGGCCCUUGCGGUUGAGCAUCCAAGCGAAAGCGAUAAGUGAACCACCUGGGGAGUACGUUCGCAAGAAUGAAACUCAAAGGAAUUGACGGGGGCCCGCACAAGCGGAGGAACAUGUGGUUUAAUUCGAUGAUACGCGAGGAACCUUACCUGGACUUAAAUGUACGUUGCAUAGAUUGGAGACAGUCUUUUCUUCGGACUACGUACAAGGUGCUGCAUGGUUGUCGUCAGCUCGUGCCGUGAGGUGUCGGGUUAAGUCCCAUAACGAGCGCAACCCCUAUCCUUAGUUGCCAGCGGAUUAUGCCGGGGACUCUGAGGAGACUGCCACCGUAAGGUGUGAGGAAGGUGGGGAUGACGUCAAAUCAGCACGGCCCUUAUGUCCAGGGCUACACACGUGUUACAAUGGACGGUACAAAGGGCAGCUACCUGGCGACAGGAUGCUAAUCUCUAAAGCCGUUCUCAGUUCGGAUCGAAGU